rnacentral:rRNA from 1 species
UACGUAGGGUGCGAGCGUUAUCCGGAAUUAUUGGGCGUAAAGAGCUCGUAGGCGGUUUGUCGCGUCUGCUGUGAAAACCCGAGGCUCAACCUCGGGCCUGCAGUGGGUACGGGCAGACUAGAGUGCGGUAGGGGAGAUUGGAAUUCCUGGUGUAGCGGUGGAAUGCGCAGAUAUCAGGAGGAACACCGAUGGCGAAGGCAGAUCUCUGGGCCGUAACUGACGCUGAGGAGCGAAAGCGUGGGGAGCGAACAGG